rnacentral:rRNA from 1 species
GGCCUAAAGCUGUGGUAAAUAGGUCUGAAUGUGCGGCUAAAUAUGGGGGUCCGGAAAGUUUAAUCCCAGGCCAAAAUUGUACAAUUCUAGACUCUUUGGUGGUGUAAAAAUGUUAAUAGGAAUAGUUAAAUGUAAGGAUAAUUGGUAGCUUAUUUCUUUGAUAUUGGUUUCAUCUGGUCCAAAUAUAGAUAUUCUAUUCACGAAAACUUGAGGUGUGACAGGGAUUAGAUACCCCAUUAAUUCAAGUGAUAAAUCAUGGCUUAUUGUAGACUGGAUCUAUUUUUAACAUGUGAUCUUUAUCAACUUAAGGAGGAGGCUUUCAUUUUGGAAACUUAAGUGUUCUGGUGGUGAUUUAGAACAAUAGUGGAAUAGAUGAUUUAAUUCGAUGUUAUGCGAUAAAGCUUAUCUGUUACUCACUUCAAUACCUCUCAUUUGGUAGAAUUCUAUCCAUUAGUAGUGCAUGGCUGCUCUCAGCUAAUGUUUUGUAAUAUCUGCUUCAGUUCAGGAAUAGGCCCUAAAACUAUUUGCUGUGUAAGUGUAAACACAACUCAGACAAUAACUGUGGACAUGUGUGCAUGCAGUUAUGUGUGGACUUUAGCAUGCAACCAAUCCCAAUCCCAGUCAAUAAGAUCGAGUUAGAUAGAAUAAGGUCGAGUCAUUAUGCUCUUUUUUCAGAGAUAUUCAUGUGUUACAAAGUUUGCCACUAGAUAUCUUACUACAUGAGGCCCCAAUCUUUUCACACAUGAGAAAAGGUUAGUGAAAAGGUUAUCAUCCGAAUUGAAAACUGAAAUGUCUUCAUGAAGGAGGAAUUAUUUGGAAUCUUUGGUUAGUUACUUAAAGGUGAACAGGAGAUAAAUUUUGCACAUACUGCCCGUCAAGCAAAAAGCAGAGAUGUAGAUUUAAACAGACCUUUGUAAAAUUGUAAAAUUCGCAUUCUAAUUUGUGUUAAGUCGAAACAUGGUAGCUCAUCAGGAAUGACGAGCUGG